rnacentral:lncRNA from 10 species
UGGCUGUGAGGCUCAGAGCGGGGAGAGCAAACCAGCAGGUCCAACCCGGGAUUAAACCUGAGACGCGGUUUUGUAACCAAAAUUUAAAGUAAAGAAAACUGAAGUUUUGCUAGCAAACUCUUUAAAAAUAAUAAGAGACUGUUGGGCCGGGCACGGUGGCUCAUGCCUGUAAUCCCAGCACUUUGGGAGGCUGAGUCGGGCGGAUCGCCUGAGGUCGGGAGUUUGAGACCAACCUGACCAACAUGGAGAAACCCCGUCUCUACUAAAAAUAAAAAAUCAGCUGGACGUGGUGGCGCAUGCCUGUAAUUCCAGCUACUCAGGAGGCUGCGGCAGGAGAAUCGCUUGAACCCAGGAGCAGGAGGUUGCAGUGAGCCGAGAUCACACCAUUGCACUUCAGCCUGGGAAACAAGAGCAAAACUCCAUCUCAAAAAAAUAGAAAAAAAAAAGAUACUGUUUUGAAUUCAAAAUAAAUUAUUAUUCAAGAGAUUAUCUUAUUGAUUUCUUCUUCUGAUGAUGGAAGAUUCGUUUACUGAUAAUCAACCCUCCCACCUAUAAUAAUUAG